UUUAAAACCCCUUUUUUAUUCCCUUUUUCAAAUGCAGCCACCUUUUAACUAAAAAAAAUCUAUAAUCCUAAAAUCAGUUAAACAUUGCAGCAAAAAAACAAAAAAAGGAAAGAAAAAGGGGAAACCCAAAAUGUUUGCCCCCAUUUGGUCUGCCGUUCAACCACCAUCAGUCCACCAUGAACGAUGGAUGGUGGUCUACCAAAGCGUUCCCCUUAUGCCUUCAUUUAAAGCCCAGCCUCAAGGCUCAUCAAUUUCGGCCUCAAAACCCCUCUCAACCUUCGACGCCGGCGAAGAAGACGAGGAUUUGGUGGCUCGUUCGCAAAGUAAGUCUUCUAUCUUCUCUUUAUUAUACUAAAACGCAUGCAGAGCAAAAAAGAAAACAAAAUAGACCUGAGAAAAAUAAUGUACAAGACUUUUGAAAUCUUUUUUUCUUUUUGAUUGCUCUUUUUUUAUAUAUUUCAAUCUUUGUGUGUAUAAAAAUACAAUGUUUUUUUUUAUUCCCGAAAUUCCCCUAUUUUCAAUCAGUUCCCUCUCCCCAAAAUACCAUCGAUCCCCCCCUUUGCACUCAUUUUUCCUGCUCUUAUAACCGAACGGAGUACAAUAUUUUAUAUUUCUUCUUUUGUUUUGGUUCUAUUUUUGUCGUUUGCUCUUGUUUGCAUCUGUUGUUUGCGCGUGGUUUCUUCCUUGCAGGUGUCAGAGGCGUGCAAUGCGCGUGGAGGCAACAGACAGUGGUAGCAUGGGGCAUGUGGCGGUUGAGGCUGAAGGCAUGCGGCUGAAAACUUCAAUGGCUGUUGAAAUUUUUUUUAAGGUAGUGGGCUUGGGCUGUUAGGGUUUGUAAAUUGAGUUUGGGUAUUGUAUUUGGGUUAUUGGACUUUUAUAUUUGGUUAUUUGGGUUUUGUUAUAUUGGGCUAGGGUUUGAUGUAAAUUGGGUUUGGGUAUUUUGGUUUUGGGCCGGACAUAAUUGAGCCUGUACAGUAAUGGCUGGACAUUUUUUAAAAAAAAAACAGCAAGCAAUAAAAAAAGAUAACCACAAAGUCAUUGGAAAAAAAGAGGUUCAAAUUGGGUUAUGGUUUCUUCUUCUUUUUUUUUUCUUUUUUUUUGUUUUAUUAUUCGAAUUCAUUUCUUUUCAUUUAUAUAUUAAAAUAUCUCAAAAUAUAUAUAAUAUAUAUAAAAUAAAUAAAUAAAUAAGGGGUACCUUUCGAAGUUUCGGCCACCGUGCGCGGUGGCCGGCGACGGAGGCAGGACGUGGUGGCGAUCGGCGGGGAAUCCUCGCCGAAGCAAUGGCCUCUGCAGAAAACAAAG
rnacentral:lncRNA from 1 species